rnacentral:lncRNA from 1 species
GGACCGUUUUGGCUCAAAAAUUCUAAUAUUCUACUUAGGUAGCAGUCUAAGUCAUGAGAGAAAGGUCUCACGUGCUUUCUUUGACGCUAAUAAUAGAAUGCUAGUAACACAGCUGAGGAAGUCAUUGUGCAAAGUCAGGUCUCUCCAAACUGAGGUCAGAAGAGCUAACUGGGAGACAGACAUUUGUGUCCACAGAUUAAUUAGACAUUCAUCAUAACUGCCUGCGUGGAUGUGGCAACGGGCACAGAGCCCCGAGAAGUGCCUGCCACACGACCAGCCAGAGGGAAUGUGCCCCUUGAAGCAGAGGAAUGUUCCCGCUCCAGUGAGUUCUGAGAACCCCCCGGUACAUAGUUGUGUAUUCUUCGUUGUGGGUUCCUCUAGUUGUGGCAUGUGGGACGCUGCCUCAGUGUGGUCCGACGAGCAGUGCCAUGUCCGCGCCCAGGAUUCGAACCGACGAAACACUGGGCCGCCUGCAGCGGAGCGCGCGAACCCAACCACUCGGCCACGGGGCCAGCCCCUCUAAUGACCUCAUCUUAACGAAUGACAUCUGCGGUGACCCUAUUUCCAAAUACGGGCACAUUCUGAAGUUCUGGAGAUUGGGUCUUCAACAUAUGAGUUUUGGGUGGACAAUUCAACCCAUAACGACUCCCCUUUCCCCUCCUUCUUCCGACUUGCUCAGAUACCUCAAGGCAAUCUCUUAUUCUCAUUCUCACUUCUACUCCUCCUCCUGCCUGUCUUGUCAACCCUGUAAAUUAUCCUGUAUAUGAUGGGAACACGUAAGAAUGGGCAUGUCUAGGAAAAAGAAGGGCUUGUGUUUUGAAAUGUAACCUGACCUGGAUAGAGGUCAGAGCGACCCCUAGAACCACUCAGGAUCUCUUUUCAGAAGGUCAUUACUUCCUCACCCUCCUCUAUUUAAACCAAUUUGUUUUCUUUUCCUUAAGUGCCAUGAUUCAAAAUAAAUCUUUCCUACACGGCAUUUUCCUGUUUCAAUCACUAAUAUUUAGACUGUGUUGUGUUCUGCUCCAUUUUCGUUGUCAAUGUGUAGUAUUUCAACUGUUGUAAAAUAAAUUGGAAUAAAAGUCCUCAUGGGAUGAUAACUAUCCCUUCCCACCACUCUCCCCUCAUUGCUACAAUUCUUGUUCUCUAAGUAUUUAUUGAGUAACAGUUAUGUGCUGGUCACUGUCGUAGACGUAGGAGAUGCAAACAUAAGUGAGUCAUGAUGUCUACUAUAAAGAAGCAUACAAUCUAGAGAGGCAGACAGACCUAACUAAUACUCUAGGUCUCAUAACAGUCGUAUUUAUAAGAGGAUAUGGCAGCACAGAAGAUGGAGUGAUUAACGAAGCAUUAGGAAUUGGAAGUGAUCAGCCUCUGUUUAUCCAGUUAAGGACAGCAUCCUUGGUGAAGGUAAAACUUCUUAGCAGGUUGAAUGAUGAGAGAGCAAGGCUGGCCUGUAGAAGAGAAGGGCACUCUAGCACACGGGGGACGAACUGGAAAGCAGAGGGGAGACGCGAGUACGGUAUCAGAUGAAAGCUUUGAGACGCCUUCCACCCAACCACCGUUCUCCAUCUACUGCUAUGGAUUACUCUGAAUUUGUUAAAGGCCCAAGUACGUUAAAGUGAUGGAUGCCAUCUUUGGCCUCAGGGACAUGCACAUUGCCCAGUGGAAAUAAAUAAAGUAUUUCUGAACUUGCUUUAAAAAUUGCAAUUCAAGCCUUGUCACCAACUUACAAGAGUCAUAAUCAUCCAACCAAUGAAUUGUUGACACACUAUUUCAUCUACCCUGCAGUGACUAUUAUGAGCUGCUGUGUGACCAGUCAUCCACAGAAACUUUUAAUUUUCUCUUGGUAGUUAGUUUCACAUCAUUUCUGCUUGUCCCAAUUCUUGCAGUAUUUUUGGGACUGAAUUAUUUCAGCACUUGCCAUCCACUCACGAAGCUAAAACCUGGACACACUCAUAAGCAGGCUUUAAAAUCAUUCUUUUGAAAGGGCAGUCCUACAAUCUCGAUUUUCACUAGAACCGUUGAUUGUGUCAUUAUCAGCCAGAAGGAACCUGUUUGUUUUGUUUGUUGUCUGUGACACCAAAAUUUGGUCAAGAUCCAAAAAAUUAAAAAUAGAACUACCAUACGAUCCAGCUGUCCCACUACUGGGUAUCUAUCCAAAGAGCUUGAAGUCAGCAAUUCCAAAAGUCGCAUGCACCCCUAUGUUCAUUGCAGCAUUAUUUGCAAUAGCCAAGACGUGGAAGCAACCUAAGUGCCCACCAACACAUGAUUGGAUAAAGAAGAUGUGGUAUAUAUAUACAAUAGAAUACUAC